GCGGCACUGUGCCAGAUAAUUGGGCUUUCUUGAUGUGAAAGAAUAUGAAGGUUGGUCCUUUCGGUGUU
rnacentral:tRNA from 1 species